GACAGAGGGUGCAAACGUUGUUCGGAAUUACUGGGCGUAAAGCGCGUGUAGGCUGCCCUGCAAGUCGGAUGUGAAGGCCCUGGGCUCAACCUAGGAAGUGCACUCGAAACUGCAGGGCUGGAGUCCUGGAGAGGAAGGCGGAAUUCUCGGUGUAGAGGUGAAAUUCGUAGAUAUCGAGAGGAACACCGGUGGCGAAGGCGGCCUUCUGGACAGUGACUGACGCUGAGACGCGAAAGCGUGGGGAGCAAACAGG
rnacentral:rRNA from 1 species